rnacentral:misc_RNA from 1 species
GAUGAAGAACGUAGCGAAAUGCGAUACUUGGUGUGAAUUGCAGAAUCCCGUGAACCAUCGAGUCUUUGAACGCAAGUUGCGCCUCAAGCCAUUAGGUUGAGGGCACGUCUGCCUGGGCGUCACAUAUCGUUGCCUGAUGCCAGUUUCCUCGUGAUGGGUGACUGUGCAGGGCGAAUGAUGGCUUCCCGUGAGCAUUGUUGCCUCAUGGUUGGUUGAAAAUUGAGUCCUUGGUAGGGAGCGCCGUGAUAGAUGGUGGUUGAGUGACGAACGAGACCCAAUCAUGUGAGACCCCUACCGAAUUUGGCCUUCAUGACCCACAUGCGUCUUUGGAACGCUCAUGACGAGACCUCAGGUCAGGCGGGGCUACCCGCUGAGUUUAAGCAUAUCAAUAAGCUGAGGA